rnacentral:rRNA from 1 species
UACGGGGGGGGCAAGCGUUGUUCGGAAUUACUGGGCGUAAAGGGCUCGUAGGCGGCCUCCGCAAGUCGACUGUGAAAUCUCCGGGCUUAACCCGGAACGGUCAGCCGAUACUGCGGGGCUAGAGUGCAGAAGGGGCAACUGGAAUUCUCGGUGUAGCGGUGAAAUGCGUAGAUAUCGAGAGGAACACCUGCGGCGAAGGCGGGUUGCUGGGCUGACACUGACGCUGAUGCGCGAAAGCUAGGGGAGCGAACGGG